rnacentral:rRNA from 1 species
CAAUAGCGUAUAUUAACGUUGUUGCAGUUAAAAAGCUCGUAGUUGGAUUUCUGGAGGGAGCGUCGGCCCGUAUUUACGAGUGCGUGACGUCUCUGUCCAUCCUUGCGGGAAGGCACGGCAUUGAUUUGUUGUGUCGGAUCGCAUCAUUUACUGUGAAAAAAUUAGAGUGUUCAAAGCAGGCUUUCGCUUGAAUACAUUAGCAUGGAAUAAUAAGAUAGGACUUUGGUGCUAUUUUGUUGGUUGAGCCUAAAGUAAUGAUUAAUAGGGAUAGUUGGGGGCACCUGUAUUGCGUUGUCAGAGGUGAAAUUCUUGGAUUUACGCAAGACAAACAGCUGCGAAANCGNNNGCCAAGGAUGUUUUCAUNAG